UGUGCCCUUCCGGUCUUGGUUAAUGGAUGGAUAGAAGUCUACCAUGUCGAAGGAUAUUAAGGUCGUCAAUCGGUGGAGGGUUUUUACUGCUCUUGAAGCCAUAGGUAUCUUUAUAAGUGAUGGUAGUAUUCGGAUUCAGGAGGAAGUAAGCUUUCCAGCGCAUAUUACGAAGGAAGGUCUCAGAUUUUUCAAUAAGUCGUUGUAAGUAUUCAUUCGGUGAUGGUGAAAGAAUGUUCUUGAAGCUGUAGUUGAAGUUGAAUUUCUCCAUUGCGGAUUAUCGUAGAGUGCUUGACAAAAUUUUUUCUUGAAGCGUAAUAGGAAGUUAUAAACAAAUAAUCAACAAUCAUAACAAACAUAUACUGAGAGCAUCAGACAAA